ACAUACAAGUAAUAAAAGUCUGACACAAACAGAUGGCUCCUUGGCAAGCCAAACCGUUCAGCCUAAAGAAUGAGUUUUCACCCCCAUUUUGCAAAGAAACAUUUCAGAAAUAGAAAACCCAUUCGGGAACCAAAUCGCCUCUUCCAAAGAAAACAUAGAUCAGAGGUGACCAAAACAAGACUCCGGCAAUCUUCAUCAUAGCUUUUCCAGCACCUCUCCUCCUUUAAGCGGACUCUCCUCACCACCUUCUAUCGCACUCCGCUUCGUCGACCGCAAAACCAGGAAUCCCUCCCUCCAGAUAAGUAUUCUCGCCUCUUCUUAUUCCUUCUGUAGCACGGACAUGUGCUAAACCAUUUGCUUGCCUUGAUGCAUGUUCAAAAUUACAUCUAUCGAACCUCUUACUCAGUUCCUUUGAAUCCUUGAUGAAGGCGCUUAUAGCAGGUCUAUCCUCUUGUUCUAUUCGCAAUUUUCGGAUAACCAAACGGGCAUCCCCUACAAUGACCACUCUUUGAAAUCCUAGAUCGAGUCCCAUUUGCAGUGCCUAGAGACAGGCCCGUGCUUCAACCGCAAAAGGAGAAGGUAUGUAUCUAUUAAGUAUGAUUCUUGAACCCAGAACCCGUCCAUCUGUAUUCCUACAUACCAAACCGGACAUGAUUCUUUUGUGUGAUUCUGAAGAGUUGCAUCAAAUUUUAUUUUAAUAAAAUCUGGAUCUGGUGGGCACCAUCUUUUUGCCACAAUCUUUUGACCGGAUGACCCAAAGAGCACAGAACACCUUUUUGCACUUGAUUGUUGAAAUGGUAGAAACAAUACCCAUUAACCAAUGGAAAUCCACGAACACAUUUCGGUCUCUAGUUACAUGGUUUGUGGCUCUUGAGUCUAAAAUCCACAAAGGAUGAGAUUCAAUUAGUAAUACAAUACUAGAAAAAAUGUAGUACUUUCAAAUUAUUUAUUGCACUUGAAAGUGCUUUAUAGGUCUUUACCUUCUUUGGCUCAGUGCAUUCACAAGCAAAGUGACCCUUCUUGUCACAAUUGAAACACUUAAUUUGAGCUUUAAUUUUCUUCUUCUUUUUAAUUGUUUGGAGAGCCUUUCUUUUUCCUUGGGAGUUAGACUUUUGCUUCUUAAAAGCUUUUUCCUUGUAGCCACCAUAUAGUUUGUGCUUCUUUAAGCCAGAAUCUGCAUUUGAACUUGUUCCUACCAUAUAUACAUCAAUAUUAGGCUUAAUUGCCUCAUUACUAUCUUCCAACUAAAGAUGUCGAGUGACAUCAUCUAGAAUCUUGAUGCCCUCAUUGUGGGCAAUGUGCACUAUCAUAUGCUCCUAGUUGUGAGGCAAUGACCAAAUACGUGCUUGAACCUAUUGUUCAUUAGACAGAGUGACUUGUGUCUCUCAGUUCUCUAAUCAUGUUUGACGUUUCUCUUGUAAGUUUCAAACUUGAUUGUGAGCUACCUGAGUUUAGUAACUAAAGUGCCCCUAAAAUUCUCUUUAAGAGCAGUCCACUCAUCUUUUGCGACCUCAUGCUUCUUCAACUUACACAUGAUGUCAUUGUCCUUAUUGCUCAACAACGUUAUACGAGGUAUAAAAAUUUUUUAUUUCCAGGCAUCUUAUGCCUCUCGGUCCCUUUUAUUUUGGGUUGUAUUUGUUGGAAAAAAAAAAGGAUUUUUAGAAGCUUAUAGGCAUAUUCUCGAUUGGUAAAUGUAGAGAUUUAAAUUAUAAAAUUAUGGAUUUAUAUUUUACCCCAUUAGACUUUUACAAUGGUGAUCAAAAUAGUUGAGUGAUGAAUGAGAAA